UACGAAGGGUGCAAACGUUGCUCGGAAUUAUUGGGCGUAAAGCGCACGUAGGCGGCUUGGCAAGUCGGAUGUGAAAUCCCCCGGCUCAACCAAGGAAGUGCAUCCGAAACUGCCGAGCUUGAGUACUUAAGAGGAUCGCGGAAUUCCCGGUGUAGAGGUGAAAUUCGUAGAUAUCGGGAGGAACACCAGUGGCGAAGGCGGCGAUCUGGGAAGAUACUGACGCUGAGGUGCGAAAGCGUGGGGAGCAAACAGG
rnacentral:rRNA from 1 species